UAGCUCACCUGGUAGAGCAUGAGAUUCUUAAUCUCAGGGUCGUGGGUUUGUGCCCCAC
rnacentral:tRNA from 1 species